CGCGGCGCAGCCGGAGGGAGCGGGGGCGCGCCCUUCCGCCGCCUCCUCCUCCUCGCGACGGGAUGUGAGCGAUCUUUUGCCGUGCUGCUUCGCUCCUAGCGGCUUGUGCCGGCUGUCAGUGAGACUUGGGGACGUCACGAGCCCUCUUUGCUGCCUGUUCAACGUGACGCUGACGUGACCGUCCUAUCUAGGAAAUCCAGCGGCGGUGCCUCGGGAUCAUCUCUGGCCAUCUUUAUUUGAAGUUCAGCGCAGGAGAAUACGAACUAACAAUUGCCAUAACGGACGCCUACAGCGCCAUCAGGUGCUCAGAGCCCCAUCCAACCUGACCUUCAAUCAGAUGGAGCAUCCACCGCCUCUCUGGGCAACCUGUGCCAGUGCUUCACCAUCCUUAUCAGAAAGAACUUUGUUCUCGUUUUGACUAUAACUGUUCCCUCUUUUAGGUUGCAACCAUUUCCCUUUGUCCUGUCACAACAGACUCUGCUAAAGGGUCUGUCUCCUUCCUUCUUAUAGCCAUCCUUUACAUUCUGAAAGGCCACCCUCAGGUCUCCCUGGAGCCUUCUCUUCCAAAGAAACGUGGCCAGCAGGGCGAGGGAUAUGAUCCUGCCCCUCUACUCUGCUCUGCUGAGGCCUCACCUGGAGUACUGCGUCCAGAUGUGGAGUCCUCAGUACAGGAGAGACAUGGCCCUGUUGGAGUGCAUCUGGAGGAGGGCCACAGAAAUGAUCCCAGGGAUGGAACACCACCCUCUCUGAGGACAGCUGAGAGAGCUGGAGCUGUUCAGCCUGGAGAAGGCUGCAGGGAGACCUGGGAGCAGCCUUUCAGUACUAAAGGGGGGCUGUAAGAAGGAAGGGGACAGACUCUUUAGUAGGGACUGUUGUGAUAGGAAAAUAUUAGGCAGUCCUGAAGGCUGACAGUGGGAAAUCAUGCAGCCUGCAUCUGAGUUUUUGAUACUAUAUUUAAAUCAAUCUCUUCAAUCUGAUUAGGAAGAUAACUCCCUCUAACAUCAUCAUACUUCCAUGCCGCUAGACCUUCUGCAUUUAAGUACAAGAGAACACACAAGUACAACAAUAGGUUUCCAGAAAAGGCCAUUGAAAGUGGUGAUUCUGAAGAAGUUAGCAUCCGGCAUCCACCACCACCUGAUGUCACCCAGCCAGGUCUAGAUUUCAUGCCUCACGCUAGCACUGACUACACAGUGUAUGUAUAGCUCUAUGCCGUGUGCCUGUCUUGACACUUACCAUUCUCAGGUUCAAAAAUGUGUGGAAAAAACAAGGGCAAAAAAAAAGUAGUAGGGCUACCAUCACAUGAGCAGUUUGUUUAUUGUUACAGCAAGAGAAACAACAGGGCUUAUGUUUGCUAUACAAGGACUGCAAGAUGAAAAUAAGUCAUCAUCACGAGUAAUUGUGGCAUUUCAAAGUCUGUGACUUUUGAUCCCUGGCACCUGUGAUGUGGCAGUUCACAUACAUACCAUCACCAGGAGCAUUGCAAGCAUUUGAUUAUCAGGUCUAUCAGUGCUCGAAACGUUUAUCAAAGCUGAUAUACUUCAAUCAAGCAUUAUAACAUAUAAUUUCACUCCUAAGAUUGCCCUCCAUCAGAGCGCUCACAAGUUUGGAACCUGCAAGGUGAAGAGGAACAGGACAGGAGCAAUGAUUACUGGGUUAUAUUUUUCCACAUGAAAGAAGAGCUCCUGGUGUUGGUAGGUAGAUCUGUGGAAUGAACUCAAUAUGUACUUCCAGGAAGAUACCAGCGCUGUUUUGUAGGCAGACGAGAACCAAACCGACUGUUGGACGCACAAACAUUGAUAAUCCUGUCUCACCUUUCUACAUCAUUCUGCUUGUGAAACACCAGACUGAAAGCAAUGGUCAGCAGAGCUUACAUGCAGGAGGGAUGCACUGGUAUGGAACUUCAUCUGAUAGCUCACACUGCCGGAAAAGGGGGAAAAAAAAGAUGAAGAGUUCGUGACAGUGCUCUGCAAUCAGUUUGAAAAUAAGCUAUCGAGCAACAGAACAUGGGUGAAAGGUUUAGAACUUCAAAAGCAAAAGGGCUUAUCGCUGUGUAUACACGGCUGCAGACUUGCACAAUCGGUUAAAUAGUAAAUCAGUUAAACACUGUUCUCAUGUCCAGAAGUACUGCUGUUCCUCUGUGCUGCUGUAUUCUCCCAGCAACGUUUCUGUGUUCCCUGAGCAGUGCUGGUCUCCCUCUGCUGAAGGGACAGGACACACGUGUUGCUCCAUGUCACCCCAUUACUUCUAAUGCUUUCUGUCACUGACAAUUGCUGUUUUGGAGCACAGUGAAACCUAAUUAUCUGUUCCUGGGCAAUUUCACUCCAAUAAAAAACCACCAACAACAAAAAAACCCUCCCUUUUUUAAAAGGUUUUGGAUCAAAGUGGUUUGGAAGUUCCAUAGCAGCUUUCUUUUCACAGUGCUCUUUAUAUACUCUAUUAACAAUUGCACAGUAGUGUAAGAAGAAUUACUGAAGCACAAUCAAAUUUCUUUAAAGAGGAAUGUGACUGUUUUGCACCAUAUGCUGUCAUAACGGCUGGAUUUGAGGCUGAAAUUUCCUAGAGACCUCCCAUAGAAGGAAUUAAAUUAGUUUUG
ensembl:lncRNA